CGCCAUAUUAAUAAUAGCUUAAAUCACCUCGGUGGAAGUGGACGUAAAAUACAACUAACAAACAACAACAAUCACGAGAAUUACCAGUAUAUGUGGGCCUGGAUGUCGAGGUUUAUGGCCAGUCCAACUUAAACAGAGAUUUGGGGACAACUUUGUGGAUGUUGAUUGUAAUUCUGAUGAUGCAAUUUGAUAACAAGUAUGCUAAUGAAGGUGGUACUAUGGAAUGUGAAGACACUGAUGUUCUUCCUGAAAAAGCUAUGGUAGAAGAGGAAAUGGUAGAAAAAGACAGUACAAAUGAUGAACAAACUUCUUGGGUUAAUUUGAAUGGUGAAAGUAAGAAAGGUACAUGUAAGCAAGUCAGAAGAUAUUGGACAGCCGAUGAGAAGAGAGCUGUUUCUGAACAGUUGGGUAACAACAGUUGACAAAUGAAAGUUCCCGGUAAACUGGAGAGACAUCAAAGAUUAUAUUCAUAAUGUUAUCCAGUCUAAAAAAAAAUCAUGAAGCAUUUUUAAACAUGUUCUGUUGUUGUCCUCCGCCUUUCAUUCGUCUGUCUGUCCGUCACAAUUUUUGGGACACAAUAACUUUUCUUCUAAUUGAGUUAGAAUGUUCAAUCAUGGUGAAGGUGUUUAUUAGGUAAAUAGCUUGACUGAGUUCGACAUUGAGCAAUUUCUGCUUUGGCUAAGCAAAGAUAAGCAAUUUUAUUGGUCGAUGCUUUGGGACAAAAUAACUUUUAUUCUAAUUAACUGAGAGUGGUGAAACAUGUUAGUCCCGAAAUGACCUAGUUUGUGUCGAGUGGACGUUAAACCCCAUUUCUCUCUCGCUAAGACUUUAUUAGGUGAAUGCCUUGACAGUUCGAUGAUGAGCAUUUUCCACUAAGGCUGAAGGAGAUAAUUUGAUGGGUCAAUGAUUUGGGACGCAAUAACUUGUAUUCUAAUUAACUGAGAGUGGUGAAACAUGGUGUAUAGUUUCAUUACAUCAAUACCUUGACUAGGUUUGAUGUUCAGAAUUUUAUGUUGGGCUAUGUAGCGAUAAGCGAUUUGAUUGGUCAAGACAGUAACUUUGCUUUUAAUUGAGGUAGAAUCUUCAAACUUGGUGUUGAUGUUCAUUGGGUAAAUGUCUUGACUGAGUUCGACGAUUAACAUUUUCCGUUAAGGCAAAGCAGAGAUAAGCAAUUUGAUUUGUCGAUGCUUCCGGAUGCGAUAACUUUUAUUCUAAUUGAGGGAGAGUGAUGAAACUUCGUGAACUUGACCAAGUUCGACCAUGCGCUUUUCUGCUUAGGCUAAGUAUAGAGAAGCAGAUUGAUUGCUCCAUGUUUAUCAAAAAGAUAAAUAAUGUGCAAUUAAUUAAUGUGUCAUCUAUUUAUUUGGAGAUUGCGUUGGGGGACAUCAGCCUCACCGUUGGCUUUUUUAUGCUGUUAUGUUUGUUUAAAUUUGUGUCAUUAUGUACUUGUGCAUGACAAGGUGUAGGGUCGCCUGUCUAACCUUGUGGGUUUUCUCCGUUUUAAGAGAUCUAAAACGAAAACCAUGAAACAUUUAUAAACAUGUUCUGUUUGUUUAUGCUGUUUUGUUUGUUGCUCUCAUGAUAAUAAACUCAAGUGUUCAAAUGAGUAAGAGAGAGGUCAAACCUUCAUGGUUAAUAUUGGAUAUUAUCAGGUUGAAUUGAUUGUAAGUUUUUAAAAUAAAUAUUAAUUAUAAUAUAUUUUCAAAAAGUUAUUUAUACUUUAGGUUACAUCUGUUAAUCUUCAUAAAUUAAUCAAAUUGCUUUUAUUUGCAAUACAUUUUAGAGAUUACAAUUUAUUAUUGUGUGUUUUCUUUGAGGAUAUUUAAGAUUUUCUUUCAUAGGAACUAAUUACAAUUCAAAGUUUUAUGAAUGAAUCGGCUUAAUUGAUUUUUUGAAUAAUCUUGUGGAUGCUCUAGAGGCUAAAGUUAUCAUUCGAUUGACUUGAAAUAUAUACACAGGAAGAACGAGAAGCCAAUCAAUUUUUUAUUAUUUCUGAUAAUUACUUGAUGGAUUGUUACUCAUAAUCAGUUUUUGAUGUCUUGUGAAUGCUCCUAUUACCUACAAAAGAAUAAAUAUGUGACAUCCUUUGUACUUAUUACUUUUCAAAUAUUCUAUUACUCAUUACAUUAUCAUUACUUCAAAAAUGAUAUUUAAACAAGAUGGCGUCACGCUAAGACAC